UUUCCAGUAGCACCUUAGAGACCAACUAAGUUUGUUAUUGGUUUGAGCUUUUGUGUGCAUGCACACAUACCAAUAACAAACUUAGUUGGUCUCUAAGGUGCUACUGGAAG